UACGAAGGGGGCUAGCGUUGCUCGGAAUCACUGGGCGUAAAGCGCACGUAGGCGGCUUUCUAAGUCAGGGGUGAAAUCCUGGAGCUCAACUCCAGAACUGCCUUUGAUACUGGAGAGCUUGAGUCCGGGAGAGGUGAGUGGAACUCCGAGUGUAGAGGUGAAAUUCGUAGAUAUUCGGAAGAACACCAGUGGCGAAGGCGGCGCACUGGCCCGGUACUGACGCUGAGGUGCGAAAGCGUGGGGAGCAAACAGG
rnacentral:rRNA from 1 species